GGACCCACGUAGCUCAGGGGAAGAGCACCUGCCUUGCAUGCAGAAGCUCACAGGUUCAGUCCCCGCUGGCAUCUCCA